rnacentral:lncRNA from 1 species
AAUCCUGGACAAAGAGACUUAUGGAGCAGGUGUGAACCCAGUCUGCAUACUGGAGCCACAUGCAGCUUAACUGGCCAUGCCAGGGAAGUGGGGGAAAGCCAGCAGUCACCGGUUUCACCCCGCUCCCACACAGCCUGCAGUCCUAAAGGCCCGUCUCACUCCCACCGUGAGCAGCUUGGAGUCAGUUUCCAGGAAGCCAGUGACCCGGGCUGAGAAUUUGCCUCAGACCACAAGCCUCCCCAUUAAGUAAGCAAGCACACUCAGUUUUUUGGCGUCUUAGGGACCCCGCAGCAAGUUCCUCCAAAGGGUGUGUGGAUCUAGUUCCUUCAAAGGGUGUGUGGAUUCUCUCGGGUUUCCUGGUACGUUGCUGUGGUAGUCGCUGGAGCAAAAGUUCAUGAUGUAAAUCUUCGCAUGCUGCUCCGUCUAUCCAAGUGGGAGCUGCAAGCAAGUCCUGCCUCCUAUCCGCCAUCUUAACCCCUCAACCAGUAAAUGUUUAAAGACAAAUCUCAAGCCCUCUCAGUCUCCGCUCUUCAAAAGUCCGUCCUUUCCUGACUUUACGUGGCAAAAGACAAUCUGCCUUGCAGCAAGUUUAUGGAUAACGCGGAGUUCCCCUGCAAUGAAUAUGUGAACCCUCUGUUCUUCAGGAUGGCACUUGGGAUGAUGUGGAGGUAAACUCGACUGAGCAAGU